rnacentral:rRNA from 1 species
UACGUAGGGGGCUAGCGUUGUCCGGAAUCAUUGGGCGUAAAGCGCGUGUAGGCGGUCCGGUAAGUCCGCUGUGAAAGUCGGGGGCUCAACCCUCGGAUGCCGGUGGAUACUGUCGGGCUCGAGUACGGGAGAGGCGAGUGGAAUUCCUGGUGUAGCGGUGAAAUGCGCAGAUAUCAGGAGGAACACCAAUUGCGAAGGCAGCUCGCUGGAACGUUACUGACGCUGAGACGCGAAAGCGUGGGGAGCAAACAGG